GUGCUUGAUUAGGCUGCACAUAUACUAAAUUUUGAAUAAUAUAGAGGUUAGCAUGGCCCUUGUGCAAGGAUGACAUACAAAUUUAUGAAGGAUUCCAUAUUUUU